rnacentral:rRNA from 1 species
GAUGAACGCUGGCGGCGUGCCUAAUACAUGCAAGUCGAGCGAACAGACGAGGAACUUGCUCCUCUGACGUUAGCGGCGGACGGGUGAGUAACACGUGGAUAACCUACCUAUAAGACUGGGAUAACUUCGGGAAACCGGAGCUAAUACCGGAUAACAUGUUGAACCGCAUGGUUCAACAGUGAAAGACGGUCUUGCUGUCGCUUAUAGAUGGAUCCGCGCCGCAUUAGCUAGUUGGUAAGGUAACGGCUUACCAAGGCAACGAUGCGUAGCCGACCUGAGAGGGUGAUCGGCCACACUGGAACUGAGACACGGUCCAGACUCCUACGGGAGGCAGCAGUAGGGAAUCUUCCGCAAUGGGCGAAAGCCUGACGGAGCAACGCCGCGUGAGUGAAGAAGGUCUUCGGAUCGUAAAACUCUGUUAUUAGGGAAGAACAAAUGUGUAAGUAACUAUGCACGUCUUGACGGUACCUAAUCAGAAAGCCACGGCUAACUACGUG